rnacentral:rRNA from 1 species
AGGUUCGAUCCUGGCUCAGGAUGAACGCUAGCUACAGGCUUAACACAUGCAAGUCGAGGGUAGCAGGUAGCAAUACCGCUGACGACCGGCGCACGGUGAGUAACACGUAUCCAACCUUCCCAUAACUCAGGGAUAGCCUUUCGAAAGAAAGAUUAAUACCUGAUAGUACUUUUUCAAGGCAUCUUGAGAAAGUUAAAGAUUUAUUGGUUAUGGAUGGGGAUGCGUUCCAUUAGAUAGUUGGUGAGGUAACGGCUCACCAAGUCUUCGAUGGAUAGGGGUUCUGAGAGGAAGGUCCCCCACAUUGGUACUGAGACACGGACCAAACUCCUACGGGAGGCAGCAGUGAGGAAUAUUGGUCAAUGGGCGAGAGCCUGAACCAGCCAAGUAGCGUGAAGGAUGAAGGUCCUAUGGAUUGUAAACUUCUUUUAUAGUAGAAUAAAGUGAUCCACGUGUGGAUUUUUGUAUGUAUACUAUGAAUAAGGAUCGGCUAACUCCGUGCCAGCAGCCGC